rnacentral:rRNA from 1 species
UACGGAGGGGGCUAGCGUUGUCCGGAAUUACUGGGCGUAAAGAGCGCGCAGGCGGCUGGUCAAGUCCGAUGUGAAAGCUCCCGGCUUAACUGGGAAAUUGCAUCGGAAACUGAUCGGCUUGAAGGUGGGAGAGGGUAGUGGAAUUCCCGGUGUAGUGGUGAAAUGCGUAGAUAUCGGGAGGAACACCAGUGGCGAAGGCGACUACCUGGCCCACUCUUGACGCUGAGGCGCGAAAGCUAGGGGAGCGAACGGG